GAAAAUGCUUAAUACUUUUUUAUUAUUGGAAGGAUUUACUUGAAAUUUGGAAUCAAGCAAGAUGAGAACGUAUAUUUAAUAAAUAAAAUUUAAAAAAAAUAAAAAAUAUUUUUAAGAGUUAGAAAACUUGACCUGACCAACUUGACUUUGAAACUACUAAUGUCCUGACCGAUAUGAAACGGCUAAAAAUGUUUUAUUAUUGACAGGAUAGACUUCAAAUUCGAUACCAAGGAAGAUUAAAACAUUUAAUACAAAAUUAUAAGAAAAAAAAGGAAAAAAAAUAUUUUCAAGAGUUAGAAAACUUGACCUGACCA
rnacentral:lncRNA from 1 species